rnacentral:rRNA from 1 species
UACGUAGGGGGCAAGCGUUUGUCCGGAAUCAUUGGGCGUAAAGAGCGUGUAGGCGGUCCGGUAAGUCGGUUGUGAAAGUCCAGGGCUCAACCCUGGGAUGCCGAUCGAUACUGUCGGACUAGAGUUCGGAAGAGGCGAGUGGAAUUCCCGGUGUAGCGGUGAAAUGCGCAGAUAUCGGGAGGAACACCAAUGGCGAAGGCAGCUCGCUGGGACGUUACUGACG